AGUGAACGCUGGCGGUAGGCCUAACACAUGCAAGUCGAACGGCAGCACAGGAGAGCUUGCUCUCUGGGUGGCGAGUGGCGGACGGGUGAGGAAUACAUCGGAAUCUACUCUGUCGUGGGGGAUAACGUAGGGAAACUUACGCUAAUACCGCAUACGACCUACGGGUGAAAUCAGGGGACCUUCGGGCCUUGCGCGAUUGAAUGAGCCGAGGUCGGAUUAGCUAGUUGGCGGGGUAAAGGCCCACCAAGGCGACGAUCCGUAGCUGGUCUGAGAGGAUGAUCAGCCACACUGGAACUGAGACACGGUCCAGACUCCUACGGGAGGCAGCAGUGGGGAAUAUUGGACAAUGGGCGCAAGCCUGAUCCAGCCAUGCCGCGUGGGUGAAGAAGGCCUUCGGGUUGUAAAGCCCUUUUGUUGGGAAAGAAAUCCAGCUGGCUAAUACCCGGUUGGGAUGACGGUACCCAAAGAAUAAGCACCGGCUAACUUCGUGCCAGCCGCCGCCGUAA
rnacentral:rRNA from 1 species